GAUGAACGCUGGCGGCGCGCCUAACACAUGCAAGUCGAACGAUUAAAGCACCUUCGGGUGUGUAUAAAGUGGCGAACGGCUGAGUAACACGUGGGCAACCUGCCCCUUUCAUUGGGAUAGCCACGGGAAACUGUGGAUAAUACCGAAUACUUCGAGACUUCCGCAUGGAAGACUCGAGAAAGCUCCGGCGGAGAGGGAUGGGCCCGCGGCCUGUUAGCUUGUUGGUGGGGUAACGGCCUACCAAGGCAAUGAUGGGUAGCUGGGUUGAGAGACCGACCAGCCAGAUUGGGACUGAGACACGGCCCAGACUCCUACGGGAGGCAGCAGUGGGGAAUCUUGCACAAUGGGCGAAAGCCUGAUGCAGCGACGCCGCGUGCGGGAUGAAGGCCUUCGGGUUGUAAACCGCUUUCAGCAGGGACGAGGCGAAAGUGACGGUACCUGCAGAAGAAGCCCCGGCUAACUACGUG
rnacentral:rRNA from 1 species